CUCAGACACACACAUUCACUGGUGGGGGGGCACUUACAGACACUCACUGACAGACAUACACACACAUUCACUGGCAGACAGACACAAACUCACUGACAGACACACACUCACACAAUGGCACACACACAUUCAGAGACACACACACUCACUUACUCAUUUACAGACACACACACACUCACUGACAGACACACAGACACACACAUUUACUGAUACACAAUCACUGACACACAAACACAUUCACUGACACACACAC